rnacentral:rRNA from 1 species
UACAGAGGGUGCAAGCGUUAAUCGGAGUUACUGGGCGUAAAGGGCGCGUAGGCGGUUAUUUAAGUUUGAUGUGAAAUCCCUGGGCUUAACCUAGGAACUGCAUUGAAUACUGGGUAACUGGAGUACUGUAGAGGGUAGUGGAAUUUCCGGUGUAGCGGUGAAAUGCGUAGAGAUCCGGAAGAACACCGGUGGCGAAGGCGGCCUGCUGGGCAGUUUUGCUGACACUGAGGCGCGACAGCGUGGGGAGCAAACAGG